rnacentral:rRNA from 1 species
AUUGAACGCUGGCGGCAGGCCUAACACAUGCAAGUCGAGCGGAGGAAGGGCGCUUGCUCCUGGAUUCAGCGGCGGACGGGUGAGUAAUGCCUAGGAAUCUGCCUGGUAGUGGGGGAUAACGUCCGGAAACGGGCGCUAAUACCGCAUACGUCCUGAGGGAGAAAGUGGGGGAUCUUCGGACCUCACGCUAUCAGAUGAGCCUAGGUCGGAUUAGCUAGUUGGUGGGGUAAAGGCCUACCAAGGCGACGAUCCGUAACUGGUCUGAGAGGAUGAUCAGUCACACUGGAACUGAGACACGGUCCAGACUCCUACGGGAGGCAGCAGUGGGGAAUAUUGGACAAUGGGCGAAAGCCUGAUCCAGCCAUGCCGCGUGUGUGAAGAAGGUCUUCGGAUUGUAAAGCACUUUAAGUUGGGAGGAAGGGCAGUAAGUUAAUACCUUGCUGUUUUGACGUUACCAACAGAAUAAGCACCGGCUAACUUCGUG